rnacentral:rRNA from 1 species
AUCCUUCGGGUGACGGAUCGGAUGGAGAGCGGCGGACGGGUGAGUAACGCGUAGGUAACCUGCCCUGUACAGAGGGAUAGCCACUGGAAACGGUGAUUAAUACCUCAUAAUGCCGGAUCUGCACAUGCAGGACUGGUCAAAGUUUUUCGGUACAGGAUGGACCUGCGUCUGAUUAGCUUGUUGGUGGGUAACGGCUCACCAAGGCGACGAUCAGUAGCCGACCUGAGAGGGUGAUCGGCCACAUUGGAACUGAGACACGGUCCAAACUCC